AAACUUGGUAAAUAUACUAAAAAGUAUACACUCUUCUAACAAUUCUACCUAGAGAAACUUAUCCUAAGGAAGUAAUUACCCAAGGGUACAAAAAUAAAUGAAUCUAGUUGUCUAUUUAAGUGUUGUGUAUAGUAGCAAAAUAUCAGAAAUAUCAUAAAUAUUGAGAAUUUCUUAAAUCCAUAAAAUUGAAUAUCAUGUAGCAUUCAUACGACUUAAGACAUAAUUAUUUCUCAUCAGUAACAUUUAUUUAACAUUUAUUGUUUAUAUAAUUUUUACAGAUCUUAUAUGCCAUAGUUCUAUUUUUGUUUAAAAACAAAAAUAUAUUCAUUCUCAUUCCAGUCAGAAUGGCAAUUAUCAAGAAUACAAGGAACAAUAAGUAUUGGCGAGGAUGUAGAGAACAAGGUACCUUCAUACAUUGCUGGUGGGACUGCAAAUUGGUGCAAUCACUAUGGAAAGCAGUAUGGAGAUACCUCAGAAAACUUGGAAUGGAACCACAAUUUGACCCAGCUAUCCCACUCCUUGGUUUAUACCCAAAGGACUUAAAAUCAGCAUACUACAAUGACAACAGCCACAUCAAUGUUUACAGCUGCUCAAUUCACAGUAGCUAAACUGUGGGACCAACCUAGAUGCCUUUCAACAGAUGAAUGAAUAAAGAAAAUGUGGUACAUAUACAUAAUGAAUAUUACUCAGCUUUAAAGAAGAAUGAAAUUAUGGCAUUUGCAGGUAAAUGGAUGGAACUAAAGAAUAUCAUGCUAAGUGAAAUAAGGCAAUCCCAAAAAACCAAAGGCUGAAUGUUUUCUCAGAUAAGGAGAUGCUGAUCCAUAGUGGGGUGAGCGGUGGGUAGGGAAGAAUGAAGGAACUUUGGUUUGUGUACAGGGGAAAGAAUGGAGAGGUGGGGCUGUGGGGAUGGGAAGGACAAUAGAAUAAGACAGACAUUAUUACCCUAUAUACACGUACGAUUACACUACUGGAGUAACUCGGCACCAUGUAUAGCCAGAGGAAUGAGAAGUUGUGCUCCAUUUGUGUACAUUAUGUCAAAAUGCAUUAUAGUGUUAUAUACAACUAAUUAGAAAAUAAAAAAUAAAAAUUUAAAAAAUGUAUAUAUA
rnacentral:lncRNA from 1 species